rnacentral:rRNA from 1 species
GUCCAUGCCGUAAACGUUGGAACUAGGUGUGGUCUCAUUCCACGAGAUCCGUGCCGCAGCUAACGCAUUAAGUUCCCGCCUGGGAGUACGGCCGCAAGGCUAAACUCAAAGGAAUUGACGGGCCCGCACAAGCGGCGGAGCAUGCGGAUUAAUUCGAUGCAACGCGAAGAACCUUACCAAGGCUUGACAUACACCGGAAUCACUCAGAGAUGGGUGCGUCUUCGGACUGGUGUACAGGUGGUGCAUGGUUGUCGU